GUGCUCACUUUGGCAGCACGUAUACUAAAAUUGGAAAGAUACAGAGAUUAGCAUGGCCUUUGCACAAGGAUGACACAAAAAAAUCCAUUAAGAACACUAAACUGUG
rnacentral:snRNA from 1 species